GUUUCUGUAGUUGAAUAACAACGAAGGCUUUUCGAGCCUUUAGUCCAAGUUAGAGUCUUGGUUGAAAUU
rnacentral:tRNA from 1 species